rnacentral:snoRNA from 1 species
GAGCCAUUUAUGAGCAGCUGUUGAAAUUGAAAGUGCUCGGCAGACAUCGCUCAAACAUAGUGGCAAUAAAAAUGCCAUCGUACGAGCCUUAAUGCCUUCUUAUGGCAGUUAAGGUCCCUGAAAAUGGCUACAUUG